GACGAACGCUGGCGGCGUGCUUAACACAUGCAAGUCGAACGGAAAGGCCCUGCUUUUGUGGGGUGCUCGAGUGGCGAACGGGUGAGUAACACGUGAGUAACCUGCCCUUGACUUUGGGAUAACUUCAGGAAACUGGGGCUAAUACCGGAUAGGAGCUCCUGCUGCAUGGUGGGGGUUGGAAAGUUUCGGCGGUUGGGGAUGGACUCGCGGCUUAUCAGCUUGUUGGUGGGGUAGUGGCUUACCAAGGCUUUGACGGGUAGCCGGCCUGAGAGGGUGACCGGCCAAACUGGGACUGAGAUACGGCACAGCCCACUCUGGGACGCAGCAGUGGGGAGUAUUGUAUAAUGGGCGGAAGAAUGAUGUAGCAACGCAGCGUGGGGGAUGACGGCAUUCGGGUUGUAAACCGCUUUCGCCUGUGCCGAAGCGUGAGUGACGGUACUGGGUAAAGAAGCACCGGCUAACUACGUG
rnacentral:rRNA from 1 species